rnacentral:lncRNA from 1 species
CAUGACGGCGCCGGGCUCUAAUGGCCAGAACCUGUAGGGGCGACGGAAUAUUCUUUCCUUUACAGCCUGCCAUCUUCCACGUCAUCUGAAUCUCCUCUGACUAAGGCAGGGAAUGGGAGGGCUAACUAUGGAUAGUCAAGAUACAAAGUGUUGUUCGUGUCAAUAGUCUACUGACUCUUUAACCCUCUGUGUACUUCAUCGUUAUCUACUGAAAAAAAAAAAGUACUGAUGUCUUUAUCCUUGGAGAGGAGAGGUGUAAUCGAGAUGGAGAAGAUGAGACAAAUGGAGCACAUAGAAGCCACACAACAUUCCUAAAGUCACGCAGCUGGAGGCCGCACAGCCAGAUGGCUCCAGAGGACAUGUCCUGAAUCAUGAUGUUGCUAUUUGGCAGAAACAUUGCUGCAGAAAGUCAGACCACAGAUGGGGACUGGUGGAAACCAAACAUAUGACUACAUCAGUCUACAAAAGCAUCAUGGUAUUCCCACAUAAUUCAGAAGCAUGCCAGGCCAUUCAGAAUCUAC